GAUGAACGCUGGCGGCGUGCCUAAUACAUGCAAGUCGAGCGAAUGGAUUAAGAGCUUGCUCUUAUGAAGUUAGCGGCGGACGGGUGAGUAACACGUGGGUAACCUGCCCAUAAGACUGGGAUAACUCCGGGAAACCGGGGCCAAUACCGGAUAACAUUUUGAACCGCAUGGUUCGAAAUUGAAAGGCGGCUUCGGCUGUCACUUAUGGAUGGACCCGCGUCGCAUUAGCUAGUUGGUGAGGUAACGGCUCACCAAGGCAACGAUGCGUAGCCGACCUGAGAGGGUGAGCGGACACACUGGGACUGAGACACGGCCCAGACUCCGACGGGAGGCAGCAGUAGGGAAUCUUCCGCAAUGGACGAAAGUCUGACGGAGCAACGCCGCGUGAGUGAUGAAGGCUUUCGGGUCGUAAAACUCUGUUGUUAGGGAAGAACAAGUGCUAGUUGAAUAAGCUGGCACCUUGACGGUACCUAACCAGAAAGCCACGGCUAACUACGUGCCAGCCGCCGCUGUAA
rnacentral:rRNA from 1 species